ACCUCCAGUUGUAAAGGAAAAUAGAGUCUUGGAUCCAAAAAAGUCACAAAACAUUGCCAUUCUACUAAGAGCACUGAAUGUAACUAGGGAUGAAGUCUCUGAUGCACUUCUAGAUGGAAAUCCAGAAGGGUUAGGUGUUGUGCUAUUAGAAACACUGGUAAAGAUGGCACCAACCAAA